GCUGCUAGGACUGAUGAAAAGCUGUGUUUGUAGCUUAGGAAUAAACAUGGAGAAGGAAAAUACAGAAGUGUGCAGAUGGAGCGGAUAUUUGGACUAAUCCAGGUUCAGCCCUCUGUGGUUUUUGCUGGCUGUGGAAUUGGGGGUUAGCAGUCCUGACAGCACUAAAUCCCUUUUUAUCUCUUCUUCCUUUUGUUGUGGAUUUGCAGUGCCAUAGUGUCCAAGUGGGGCAGGAUCCAGGUGCUGUGGGAUGCCUCAAGUGGAGCUCUAAGCCAGCAAAGGACUUGAAUCAUGGUGGUGUUCACCUCAGGACAAGUUUGGUAUUCACAGAGCGGCGUCAGCCCUGCGCAGAGCCCGGGUGGUGCUGAGUGUUGGGGAGAUCCUGCAGACCUGCUGCUUAAACCACACUGAUAAAGUCUCCAGGCCUCUUCCUCGGGGAGGAAGCUUUUCUCCUGUAUGACACAAUACCUCAGCUGGUGUUUGCACUGAGACCAAAGUGUGGGUCUGGACCCCUUGGAGACUGAAAUGAGGGAAUUUAUCAGCAGAUAGCAGUUUUUCCUCCAGGAGUUUGAGAGAUCCCCAGGAUUUGUUAUUCCCAGAGCUGGCACUGGCCUCUUCAGGAUCUGCAGGUCUCUUGACUGUGCCCUUCCCCAAGCACCUCUGCAGCUGAGCAGCAUCAGUAGUGAACAGGAAUCAAUGAAUUCCAGAUGAGAGCUCUGCAUGCCCAAAGUGUUUUUUUUCUGAAGAAGAAUAAGAAUGGAUGGGGCUUGGAACAACCUGGUGUAGUGGAAGCUGUCCAGGCUGCAUUAAACAUACCCAACUGAAUGCCAAAGGGCUCCUUUGCACUGCAAAACCCACGGACCUUAACAUUUCCAGGAAAGGAGCAGCUCCUAUGGCACUGAGCUGGGCUCUGUCUCACCCUAAAUGUAUGGGUUUGUAAGCUGGGAUGGCCUUGGGAAGGAGAUCUCCACAGCUGAUGAUGGGAAUGCUGUGGGAAGGGAGGGUGUGGAGCAGCUGGGGAAAUUGCGAUGGCCUGCACAUCCUGGUCCUGUUGCAGACAGACUGGGACAGUCCUCAGGAAGGGGAGGGUGAGGGUGCCGGACAGGGCUGUGCAGCAGAAGGGAGCAGCUCGGUGCCUGGCAUGCCUCCUUCUGCAGGAGCAGAUCUGGGGUCAUGCUUUGUGUCCCUCCUUUUGGCUCCCACCGGGUGCAGGAGUCUGCUGGGGUGGCCCAGAGCUGAGCCCUCCCAGCUGGUGCCACUGGGGCUGCACAGCUCCUUUGUCACAUCAAACACAGUCCCCGGGCACCCAGCCAGGGGUCACCCCUCUGCACAGGCCCUGGGUGCCAGCAUUCCCACCCAGCCCUUGGGAAGGGACACCUGCUUCCCCUGGGCAUCCCUGCCAUGGUGCAGCUGCCAGCCUGGGGACUGUCCCCACGCCUGGGGCCGUGUCCCUUCCCUCUGAGCCCCCUCCAGCUGUGGGCAAAGGGGCUGGGCACUGCUGUCGGUGCCAGCUGGGAAGGAAGGGGGAGGCUGCUGUGUGCUCGUGGGAAUUUGGAGAGCUUUAGAGCCCUCUCCCCCUGAGCUGUUUGUGCAAAGCAUCUGCCUGGCCCAGGCACCGGGCUGGGAUCUGGGGGAGCUGCAAAGACACAGCCAUGGGUGAUGGCAGGUAACUCCACAGGCUUUUCCUGAGGGAUGCGCUGCUUGGGAUGUCACCAAGGAUGUGAUUGCAAGCUUUGCUCCAAACUCUGCUCCAAAUGCAGUUUUCCCACCACCCAGUGGAUGUGGAGCAGAGGGAGGCUGUGGGGCUCUCCAGGUGGGAUUGCUGCCACAUGAACACCCCCAUCCUUGUUCUCAGCCUUCUCCCUCAGUGUUAUCCCCACGUCCUGCCUGUGCUGGCUGCACUGCUCAGCUCCUGACAGAAGGCUGGGAAGAUGGGCAGCUCUCCCCCAGCAGAUGGGGAGGUGUUGGUUGUCACCCCAUUUUUAUCACCCUCUACACAGCCAGCAGCCACUCCCUAUCUCUGUUCCCAGCUCUGGGGCUGGAGAAACCUGUCUGUGCCACCCUUGGCAGCUCUGUGACCCCGCUGUGCCCGCCUGGGUGCUGGGACAUUCCGGGUGCUGCUCUGGGAAAUGCUGCUCACGCUGCCGGCGGCUCCCUCAGGCAGGGCUUUGUAAAGCCCAGCAGAUGUGGUUUAGAAAAGUUCAGCUUUGAGGCACGCUCGCUCUUCAGACGGCUUCCGAGGAAAUUUGCACUUCAGUGGAUGUGCGGAAAAAUGGCGUUUUCAAAGUGAAAAUGAAAUGGAAACCGGCCUUCCCCCUCCCUCCCUUCCUCCCCCAGAGAAGCGGCGUUUGCAAAGUGGGGCCUCUGUUUUGAGAGAUUUGCAGCACACAGACGUCCUUCUUUCUGCUUCUUCCGCUUUGCUGUUCUUUUCUUUGCUUCCAUUUCCCCUAUUUUCUUUAUGUCUCGAGCCCAUUCCCAGGCAGCUCUCAGCUCCCCCUCCCUCAGCUCCUCAGUCCAUCCUACUCUUGUAGGGCGUAGGGUGUCAGGAGAGGGCUGCUGAAGGGUUGCCCAGUGUGUUAAAUCCUGUUAUUUUCCAUUUUCUUGGGGGUAAAAUGUGCUCAGAACUGAAACUCUCUUUAGAAACUUUCUGCUUUUUCCAUAAUUCAGGCCUUAUAAAUUAUUCCUGCUUCCCCAAGGCUGUGCCUGUGAGCCUUGUGUCCUGCCUUGCAUGGGAAGGAAAGGGAAUGGCUCCCCAGGAGCUGCUGGCUUACCUGGGAAAGGGGAGCCUGCUUGCACUGGCAGCUCCAUAAAAUCCUCCAAAUCCUCACAUCCUGCAGCAAAUCCUUCCUCUCUGGCUGAGGAGAUGAUGGGGGGGUCCUUUUGGGAAGUGGAUGUUCAGGACAAGGGGCAGUGGAUUCAAAUUCACAGAGGGCAGGGUAAGACGGGGUAUUGGGAAAAAUGAGGGAAAAUUUGGGAAAAACGAGGCACCGGUUACCAGAGAAACUGUGGAAGAGUCCAAGCCAGCCUGGACAGAGAGAGCUUGGAGCACCCUAGGCUAGUGAAAGCUGUCCCUGCCAUGGCAGGGGUGGCACUGGAUGGUCUUCAAGGUCCCUUCCAACCCAAACCAUUCCAUGAUGCUGCCUGCAGCAUUCCCGUGCCCACACAGCAGAUUUAGGGAAAAGAGCUUGUGCUGUGUGAACCUGUGUGUGUGUGAGAGCUCAGGCACGGUGUCCUGAGCAGGGACACCUCGGAGGGGGAUGCAGAGGGAGCACUGGAACACACAGAGAGGAGCAGAGGCCGUGGAGGAUGCUGGCAGCACAUCCCAGAUCCCGAAUCCCGGGCUGAGCCCUCAGGGAUGGUGUGAGGGAGGCCAGACCCACUCUGUGGGUCGGUGGCCACAAAACCCCCACAUCCACGCUGUGUGCGAGGGGCUGCUCGUUUGGGCUCGGCCGAGGCAGGAUCUCCUUUCAGGAGAGGAGAAGGGAGCAGAUGUCUCAUUCCCGGGCUCACAAUGCGGCCCUCCCGGCACGGCGAUCCAUCAGGGGCUCGGCACGGCCCCACAGCAAAGUGCCUGACACGCUUUUGCAGCGGGGCCAGGUUCUCACCACUUGUGAGCCUUGGUGCCCCUUGACAAAUAGCUCUUGGCUCUGGUUUUGUUCAGAGUCACGCUGGUGUCAAGCACGGGGCUCCCAUUCAAGUGCCCACCAACAGCGGCCCACAAAUCGCCAUUUUCUCCCCUUUUCUUGCUUUGUUUCCCCGUGACAGUCACUCAGGAAUUUAUUUUUUUUAUCUCAUUGGGUAUUUUUAAAGACAAUUUUCAAGGAACAGAGCAGCACCUCUUUAAUACAGGGUAUAAAAUGCCCUGGGAGUACAUGAGGUGAGGGAUUCCAGUUUGCAUGGUUGUGUUGCUGACACGACAUUUAAUUGCUUUUUUUUAUUUUUCCCUUUUUAAAGGCAAUUUUUCCAGCAAGUUGAUUUAUGGAGCUGACUGGCAAAGCCUUGAAUGCAUUGAGAAAUACUCAGACUCCUACAAUGGGCCAGUGCAUCAUUAAUGAAUGGUUCCUCUUUAAACUGGGAGCUGUGCUGGUAAAACCCACGGAAUUCAGUCGUGCUGCACAGUGCCACUGGGAUGUUCUGUGGAGAGCUUCUGGUCAGAAAACCUUGGGUUUAUAGCUGAGGAGUCCUUUGUAUCCCCUAGGCUGCAGCUUCGUGCUGUACCUCUCCAUCUGCAGUCCCCCUCUGACCUCAGCCAGUUCACUGUCUGCUCAGAGAGCAUUUUCCAUCACUUGAGCCUGGAAGGGGAGAGGAUUUAUGGAAUGGGGAGCACGAGGCACCAGCUCAGCACAUACCAGAGUGAGUAUGUAAGUGCUCACAGGUCGGGGAUGGAGCUACACAAGUGGUCUUGAUCAUCCUCAGGUCCAAGGGCCGAGCUGAGAACGUGCAGCACGGGUUGCACAAGAACAUUUCCAGCCUCUCUAAGGACAGUUCUCCUUCUGCUCUGGUCUUGCAUCACUUUCUAAUUAGUCUCAGCCUGUUAAUGGACUUAGAGCUGCCCAGCUGAACUCGUGUUGACAAUGCUGCAGGUUUGUUAUCUCCUUAUGGUCUUAGCCUCCAUUCCCUUCAAUCCUGCAAGUCCAUUAUGAUGUCUGUGACCUAUCAGGGCUUCUCUCUCCUUCUGACCUGCUGAUGUCCCCCCUGCUGCCAUCAUUAUGGAGGUUUUGGUGGCCCUUCCUGUGUUUUAAACUUUGUCUAGAGAUCAGCUUCCACCCCGGCCUUUAAAGUCAUGUCCUGCUUCUUUCCAGCCAGGUAAAGCCUGCAGGGAUCCUGUGGCACAUAAUGGGAGAGUCUCGCCUGGUAAUUACAAAGUCAGGAUCUGUAAUUAAAUUUUCUAUAAAGCUCCCAACCCCAAGGUGUGCCUUUAUCCCCUCUAUUAAUUAGCACAGGGAAGGGACGCUCCUGUCUAGAGGCACAGGACGAAAAUAGGAGCAGAGAGAAAGAGAACUGGCUCCUUUGAAUGAUAAAUAUUGUUCCCUUCAUGCCUUAAAUAAAAUGAGAGCUUGGCUAAAACCAGUGGGGUUUUAACUCUUGGAAGCACUGACUUAAAAAAGAAUUGGAGGAAAUAGUCCUGGAUAGGCAGCAGAGACCUCUUCCAGCAGAUUCCUGUCAUUCCAAGGCAAGCUCAGCAAUCACCUGUGUGAUUCUUGGGAAAUGUUUGUUUGACCUGUUUCUGGGACUGCUGAAAUGUUCUUUUUUUUUUUUUUUUUGCAAACAGGAGGCCCAGGAGCUCCCACAGUUCCUUGGGUUUGCGUGUUAACCCUCGUGAGCUGUGGCUUUGGGAAGACACCAAGAAUUGGAAGCGCUGUUAGCACAUCAUUAUUUGCUUUUAAAAAAAAUUUUUUUUGAUUAGCAACUUGGAAGCGGUUUAAAAACUCUUCCCUGAGAGGGACUGUCUGAGAAGGGUUUUUUCCCAAACCUUCAUUCGGAAUUGAUUAUCCAGUCCUAUUUACUGGAAGGAGAACUUGAUGUACCUCCAUAUAAAUCUACAGGCAGCAGGACUUGUGCUGCCAGAUUCAAAGGGAAGAGUCCCUUUGGGCUGAGGGCAAUAUCCAGCAAAAGCAGAUAGUGCCUGACAAAUCUUUUUAACAUUGAGCAUUCAAAGGUGGCUGGGCUGCAGAGCACAGCAACUGGAUAUCUGUAGGAUGCCUGCUUGAGGACCAUGCAGCUGUGCCAAAAAAAUGGGGAUUC